UACAGAGGUCUCAAGCGUUGUUCGGAUUCAUUGGGCGUAAAGGGUGCGUAGGUGGCGGGGUAAGUCAGGUGUGAAAUCUCGGGGCUCAACCCCGAAACUGCAUUCGAUACUGCGGUGCUUGAGGACUGGAGAGGAGACUGGAAUUCAUGGUGUAGCAGUGAAAUGCGUAGAGAUCAUGAGGAAGACCAGUGGCGAAGGCGGGUCUCUGGACAGUUCCUGACACUGAGACACGAAGGCCAGGGGAGCAAACGGG
rnacentral:rRNA from 1 species